rnacentral:lncRNA from 1 species
CGGACAUUACAUCCUUCUCCCCUUAAAUAAAUUUCGUCCUCGAAAUUAAGCAUACCUUGGUUCUCGAAGAGCUGAGGGUAACAUUGUCGCAUCUCUUCCUCCAAUUCCCAGGUAGCUUCCCUUUCAGUGUGGUUGGUCCACUGGACUUUAACGUAGGGAAUGGUGCGCCUUCGGAGGAUUUGCUCUUUUCUGUCUAUGAUGCGCAGGGGAGUCUCCUCAUAGAUUAAAUCUUUAUUUAAUUGCAGGGGCUCAUGUGGCACCACAUGGCUGGGAUCCGGGACGUACCUCCGCAGUAGUGAGACAUGGAAGACGUCGUGUACGCCUGAUAGCUCCGGGGGUAGGGCCAAUUUGUAGGCAACCUUGCCUAUCCUGGCAAGAAUCUCGAAUGGGCCGA